UAAGAUCCAAGUGAGAAGAACACUAUAGAUUAUUGCAACUUGUAAGUACAUCUUUUAAAAUUGUCAUUAAAGCCAGCCCAAAUGAUAGUGGAAACAAACAGGCCUUUUCUAAUGGGCCUAUUUGGAUACGGAAAGCCCAAUUAGGUCGAUCUAAUCGUGUGACAUGUAAGGACUUUAUUAACCACCGUUUCAAAAUUCACGUACGAUGAUCCCAACGGUGGCGCCGAAGCUUCUUCCGCCAAGCGCCGCCACUCCACCACCUUCUCUCUUAACCUCUUUCCCUUCUCUCCGUCCAUGAGCUCUUUAACCACCGUCUCCACUCUCUCCCUCUUCACCUCCUCGCCGAUCUCCAUCCCAAUCCCCCAAUCCUCGCAACAGAACUUUCGAUUCGUCAACUGAUCAGCAAAAAAUGGCCAACAGAUCAUCGGAACACCGGCGUACAAACUCUCCAACGUCGAAUUCCAUCCACAGUGAGUCAAAAAUCCUCCAAUCGCCGGAUGCGAAAGUACCUUCUCCUGAGAACACCAUCCUUUAAUUAACAUUCCUCGAUUCUUCGUCUCCGAUAAAAACUCCGCCGGAAGAAUCGAAUCAUCUCCGUCGACCAUACCAGAUCUCACCACCCAGAGAAACUCUUUCCCGCUCCUCGCUAAACCCCAAGCGAACUCUAAGAUCUGCUCACUAGUCAAAACCGUUAGACUCCCGAAGUUGACGUAAAUCACAGCUUUCUCAGCUUUAGUAUCUAGCCAAUCCAAAGACUCCGUCUCUUCUUCCCAGAGAUUCAAUCCUAGCUUUCUGAUUUCGCUGUUCUUAUCGAUUUCGCGAUUCUCCAGAAUCUGGAACGGUCCAACGGAGUAGAUCUGAGGGAGAAGAGAUCGCAGAGAUAAGAGAACGUUAUGCUCGAGUUUUUCGAAAGUGUUGAUGAAGAUCGCAGAAGCUCUUUUGAUUCUUCCGGUUACAUGAAGGAUGAAACUAAUCAUCGGAUCUUGAGGAUUCGUCGUGGUGACGAAAUCUGGAAAAUCCUUAAGCUUAAUCUUCUUCAUCGACGGUAUCCAAUCAAUCUCCGUCUCUAAAUGCUUCUUCAAGUCACUCGAAUCUGAUGGAAUUCGAAAUUGUUAAUUGAGAAUUUUUCAGUUGAUGAUCUUCAAUCGAUUCGUACCUUUGAGGGGAAUUAUCUCUUUCUCGAUGAGUUUUUGGUAAUGGAGAUACAAGAUUAAAGCAGUAGCACUGUUGGUCCAGAGGAGAACUACCGGAAUUUUAAGCUCCUCCGCUGCGUCAAUUGUGAAGCUCAUUGAAGCGUCGGAGAUGAUACAGCUAACCGGUGGUAUAUCAGAACCGGAGUUUAACCGGAGGAUGAGGUCUUUGAAUGGAGCUAAACAGUUGUUUAUUGUGGAGUCAAUAAGCUUGAGCAUGUCUUGCUUAGCGUCGACGUCUGUCCAAGGAAGACCGUCGGGGAUAGUCUCGAAGCGAAACGAGGGGAGACCGUUGAGAGCGUGAGGGCCACGUGAUUGGAGGAUACGGCGGUGGUUGUAGUCGGUGUUGACGAAAGUGACGUGGAAGCCUCUAGCGUGGAGGAGCUUGGCUAGUUUCAGCAUUGGGUUGAUGUGGCCUUGUGCUGGAUAAGGUAUGCACAUUGCGUGAGGUUUCUGUGAGCUAGAACCGCCAUGUUGUUCCAUCCUUUUGACGAUGACGAUGAUGAUGAUGAUGGAUUCCGCAACGUUGAGUCACUCAACUUGAGUGUAUCGUCCCAUAAUUGAUAGUGGAAGAAGAGAGAGUGAUACUUUGGAACCUCUUGGUAUAGUUUUGGAUGAGGAGGAAGAAUACUUGUCGGUUUGUGAUUAUAUAAUAGCCGCCAUAAGGCUCGUUUC